rnacentral:lncRNA from 1 species
GUUUAAAAUGGAAAUGUACUCCAUUGCAACUUUUCCUAGUUUUAUACUUUCAGAUUCAUGAAGACACUGAAAAGUGAUGAAUCCACAUAACCAUGACACUGGAAAUGAAGUUUGAGUGGCAGUCGGAAUCUAGGAGGAAGCAUUGCUAAGUAAAAAUUUUAUGGAGCUUGACUAAAAAUCCCUGUCAGGGACCAUCAAAAGUUCAGUCCGUGACAUGAAAAAUCUUGCUGGAAGUUGAGAGAAGUUUCUGCCUACUCCAUGAUCCAGGAACACAAGACCUUUACCAACCAGAAAAGUGGAUAGCUGUUCUUCUGCUGGGAAGGUUAAAAAAGAAAGCCAGAAGUGCCAAGCAAUUAAUACCCUCAGAAGCAAGCCUUACCCAAGGAUUAAAUAAAGUGGAUGAUUACAUACCCAAGCUCCUUCAACUCCCAGGGGCAUAAUUCUGAGGUUGACCACUGCUAUUGCCAUAACUCUGGUCCUGCUGUCUACGCAUACUACUGUUGUGACUUCCAGAAGGUACAGAGGGCUCGAAUGUCCUAUUCCAGGCUUCCUUGAAAGAGGAACUUGCUACAUUUCCCGUCCCAUCUAGUGAAGUUCUUUGUCUACAGCAGGCCUCUGGUGAGAAUUCAGUUAUUUCUCCCGAUGGACUCUCGUCUUUUUUCUUUCACUUCAUGGGCAACAGUGACCAAUUAAAAAGCCUUAGUAAUUUUACUUUUUAGGGGGUGACAUCACACAAAGAGUUAAUAGAUUUAAAGACAAGGCAAAUACCAUUUCUUUUAAAACCUGAAAAAACAUUAAAAAAAAAAAAAAACUUAAAUGAAAACUACUGAAAGAUCAUUAUCCCAGCCAUAAUCAAGUCCAAAGGUUAAAUAUGUUUGCCUU